AGUGAACGCUGGCGGUAGGCCUAACACAUGCGAGUCGAACGGCAGCACAGUAAGAGCUUGCUCUUACGGGUGGCGAGUGGCGGACGGGUGAGGAAUACAUCGGAAUCUACUUUUUCGUGGGGGAUAACGUAGGGAAACUUACGCUAAUACCGCAUACGACCUACGGGUGAAAGCAGGGGAUCUUCGGACCUUGCGCGAUUGAAUGAGCCGAUGUCGGAUUAGCUAGUUGGCGGGGUAAAGGCCCACCAAGGCGACGAUCCGUAGCUGGUCUGAGAGGAUGAUCAGCCACACUGGAACUGAGACACGGUCCAGACUCCUACGGGAGGCAGCAGUGGGGAAUAUUGGACAAUGGGCGCAAGCCUGAUCCAGCCAUGCCGCGUGUGUGAAGAAGGCCUUCGGGUUGUAAAGCCCUUUUGUUGGGAAGGAAAAGCAGCAGGUUAAUACCCCGCUGUUCUGACGGUACCCAAAGAAUAAGCACCGGCUAACUUCGUG
rnacentral:rRNA from 1 species